rnacentral:rRNA from 1 species
GACGAACGCUGGCGGCGCGCCUAACACAUGCAAGUCGAACGAGAGAUGAAGAGCUUGCUCUUCAAAUCGAGUGGCGAACGGGUGAGUAACGCGUGAGGAACCUGCCUCAAAGAGGGGGACAACAGUUGGAAACGACUGCUAAUACCGCAUAAGCCCACGGCUCGGCAUCGAGCAGAGGGAAAAGGAGCAAUCCGCUUUGAGAUGGCCUCGCGUCCGAUUAGCUAGUUGGUGAGGUAACGGCCCACCAAGGCGACGAUCGGUAGCCGGACUGAGAGGUUGAACGGCCACAUUGGGACUGAGACACGGCCCAGACUCCUACGGGAGGCAGCAGUGGGGAAUAUUGCACAAUGGGGGAAACCCUGAUGCAGCGACGCCGCGUGGAGGAAGAAGGUCUUCGGAUUGUAAACUCCUGUUGU